rnacentral:rRNA from 1 species
GUGGGGAGCAAACAGGAUUAGAUACCCUGGUAGUCCACGCCCUAAACGAUGUAUACUAGUUGUUGCUAAGCUAGUCUUGGCAGUAAUGCACCUAACGGAUUAAGUAUACCGCCUGGGGAGUACGGUCGCAAGAUUAAAACUCAAAGGAAUAGACGGGGACCCGCACAAGCGGUGGAGCAUGUGGUUUAAUUCGAAGAUACGCGAAGAACCUUACCCGGACUUGAUAUCUAACAAAUCAUCUAGAGAUAGAAGAGUGUCUGCUUGCAGAAAUGUUAAGACAGGUGCUGCACGGCUGUCGUCAGCUCGUGUCGUGAGAUGUUGGGUUAAGUCCCGCAACGAGCGCAACCCACGUCAUUAGUUGCUAACAGUUCGGCUGAGCACUCUAAUGAGACUGCCUUCGUAAGGAGGAGGAAGGUGUGGACGACGUCAAGUCAUCAUGGCCCUUAUGUCCGGGGCGACACACGUGCUACAAUGGCAUAUACAAUGAGAAGCAAUAUCGCGAGAUGGAGCAAAUCUAUAAAAUAUGUCCCAGUUCGGAUUGGAGUCUGCAACUCGACUCCAUGAAGCCGGAAUCGCUAGUAAUCGUAGAUCAGCCAUGCUACGGUGAAUACGUUCCCGGGUCUUGUACUCACCGCCCGUCACACCAUGGGAGUUGAUUUCACUCGAAGCCGGAAUACUAAAUUAGUUACCGUCCACAGUGGAAUCAGCGACUGGGGUGAAGUCGUAACAAGGUAACCGUAGGAGAACCUGCGGUUG